UACAGAGAGUGCGAACGUUGUUCGGAAUUACUGGGCUUAAAGCGCACGUAGGCGGCAUCGUAAGUGUCCGGUGAAAUCCCACGGCUCACCCGUGGAACUGCCUGGCAGACUGCGAUGCUCGAGUGUGGUAGGGGAGAGCGGAACUCCUGGUGGAGCGGUGAAAUGCGUAGAUAUCAGGAGGAACACCAAUGGCGAAGGCAGCUCACUGGGACGGUAUUGACGCUGAGACGCGAAAGCGUGGGGAGCAAACAGG
rnacentral:rRNA from 1 species